GACCUUGUAGCACAAUGGUAGUGCAUCUGACUCCAGAUCAGAAGGCUGUGUGUUCAAAUCACACCAAGGUCA